UUCCAGACUCCACGGGAGGCAGCAGUGGGGAAUAUUGGGCAAUGGGCGCAAGCCUGACCCAGCAACGCCGCGUGAAGGAAGAAGGCUUUCGGGUUGUAAACUUCUUUUGACAGGGAAGAGCAGAAGACGGUACCUGUCGAAUAAGCUCCGGCUAACUACGUGCCAGCAGCCGCGGUAAUACGUAGGGAGCAAGCGUUAUCCGGAUUUAUUGGGUGUAAAGGGUGCGUAGACGGGCUAACAAGUUAGUUGUGAAAUCCCUCGGCUCAACUGAGGAACUGCAACUAAAACUAUUAGUCUCUGAGUGCGGGAGAGGAAAGUGGAAUUCCUAGUGUAGCGGUGAAAUGCGUAGAUAUUAGGAGGAACACCAGUGGCGAAGGCGACUUUCUGGACCGUAACUGACGUUGAGGCACGAAAGUGUGGGGAGCAAACAGGAUUAGAUACCCCUGUAG
rnacentral:rRNA from 1 species